rnacentral:tRNA from 1 species
GGAGUAUGGCUUAGUGGAUAAAGCACAGGCUUGGAAGUCAGAAGGACCUGGGUUCUAAUCCCAGCUCCA